ACGUAGGGUGCGAGCGUUAAUCGGAAUUACUGGGCGUAAAGCGUGCGCAGGCGGCUAUACAAGACAGGUGUGAAAUCCCCGGGCUUAACCUGGGAACUGCAUUUGUGACUGCAUGGCUAGAGUUUGUCAGAGGGGGGUGGAAUUCCACGUGUAGCAGUGAAAUGCGUAGAGAUGUGGAGGAACACCGAUGGCGAAGGCAGCCCCCUGGGAUGUGACUGACGCUCAUGUACGAAAGCGUGGGGAGCAAACAGGAUUAGAUACCCUGGUAGUCCACGCCCUAAACGAUGUCGACUAGUUGUCGGGCCUUUACAGGUUCGGUAACGCAGCUAAAGCGUGAAGUCGACCGCCUGGGGAGUACGGUCGCAAGAUUA
rnacentral:rRNA from 1 species